rnacentral:tRNA from 1 species
GAGGGCGCGCCCAGCUCGCGACUUCGGCUGGGGCCCGAAAGGUCGCUGGUUCAAAUCCAGUUGCCCCGAUCCA